CCGGAAUCUUUAGCAAUACUGUGGCCACCUUGUCCCGGGCUCGUCAGGGGCUGGGCUUGGCAUAGGGCUGUACCUCCCAGGCAGCCGGUGUCCCUUGUUCUCCAGGCUCCCCUGUUGCCUGGCAACAGCGUUGGCUGCCGCGUAUUUUCUGACCGUGGCGGCUCCACUCACCCACUUUACCUGCCGGCCCAGAAUGGUACAGUCCUUGGAAAAAAUGAAGAAAUAGUGCUUCUCAGACUUCAGUGAGCACAUGGACCACCCAAAGAUCUUGCCAAAAUGGAAACCCUGAACCAACUUCAGAGGGCAGGAUGGGAGACAGAGAUGGAAAUGAGAAAGCAGGAAGGAAAAGUACUGAGAAGACUGGCUUUCUAGAAUGCACCAUGUUGUUAUGCUGUGAACAAUGGGAACCUCUUCAGUAAAUAACCUUUAAACAACAGGAUAAAUGCAAAUGACAUGACAAAUUACUGGCCCAAUUCAGAUGAUGGAGAAGAGACUGCACCUGUUGAUCCAUGGGCGGUACAGGUAUCUAUUCUACUGCUUCUCUCAGUUGUCACCCAACUGGAGAACGAAAACAAAACAAAAGCCAAGAAGAGAACUGAACUAUAUACUUAGCAUACCCAGUCACAUUUCAAAUAUAAGGUUUUCACAGGUCACAUAAAAGAAAACCUUCAUUUUACUAAAAAGGAUACACAGCACAUAACACAUAUGCUUUACCUCCCUACCCCUUUUCUGCUGUAGGUUUUAGUUAGCAGAAAAAAAAUCAAAUAAAGGAAAAUUCAAGUCAGAAAGAACACAAUGUGAGAUGUUCCAAAUUUUGUGAGAUUUAUCAGAAAAUUAGGAAAAACAUAAAAAUUUAUUUAAAGCAUUUAUACUUGAUAAACCAAAAAUUCAUCAGAAAGCUCAGAGAUCCUAUUAAAUUUAGGAGAAUACUGCCCUUGUUUCUCAGUCCAUUUCCCCUUAGUAUACUUUACAUUCAUGAAGGGCAGGGGAUUGUGUUUUAUUCAACCCCUGUACCCAACCUAGAAAAGUCAGUUAUUUUGUUACUGACUAUAGCUGUGUCUUAGGAAGAAGGCUAAUUCUUUUCCUGUAUUUUGUCCUAUAGUUUCCAAACGUUGUGUACAACGGGCAUGCCUUAAGAUGAUGGUGUUAAAAAAGGGGGAGGAGGGGCUUAAAGGUAUGACAAUCAUAGCAUCUCACAGAAGAAAAUGCAUAGUUUAGUGUUUCCCCACUGCAUUUUAUAAAUCUCUAGAGAUCACUGUUAUGUGAAUUUCAUUCCCUUGGUGUAUUAUGUCAAAAGCAUAAAUGUCUAUCAGUAGACACACAGAUUUUAAUACAAAUCCAUCUUGUAUUUCCCCACACUGCAGGAAACUGCCAUUGACUGCAUGAUUCUAGAUAUAUUUGUAUAGGUGAUAAAACAAAAUGCCCACAGGUGAGGAAUGCUCUCAACUCCAUUCAUUCUGAGUCCUUGGAGAACUUCCUCCCAAAUUCUCAUCACCAAGUUUUUCCCUCGACAUGGGCUUCUUCUAUCUUUCUUUCCUUGGUAUUGCUUUUUCUCCUUCUUGGGAAGCAAAUGGUUCCCCCUUCAUUCCCAAAUCCAAAAACUUUUAUAAAAAUCAAUUUUUAUUAUGGAAAUUUCAAAACUUAGUCAAAAGCAGAGAGACAAGUACAAUGAAUAACCUAUGUAUCCCAUCACCCAGGGCCAAAUAUUAUCAACUCAAGGCUUAUUCUGUUUUAUCUAUUCCUCUCCUCUGUUAAUGAAUUAUUUUGAAACAAAUUCCAGGUAUCAUAUCAUUUCAUCCAUAAACAUUUUAAUAUGGAUCUCUUUUAAAGAUCCUUUUCAAGAACAAAACCACAAUACCAUUAUCACAAUCAAAAAAAUCAGUGAUUCUUAAUAUCAAAUAACUAGUCAGUAUUCAAAUUUCUAUGGCCUUUUUAAAAAUAGAGUUGUCCUCUAUCCUUCCUGCUUACCACCCUUCCCCUCACUACUCUCAGUCAUCAUUUCCUCCCUAUUUUUCUGCUUCUCUAACACUCUUUGAGAAGUUUCUUACCUCUUGCUGCUACAUGAAACGAUGGUCUUAAGAGUCCUGCUGCUGACCCUCAUUUCAAUAUGGUUUAAAUCAGGGUUGGCAAACUACAGCCUAUAGUGGCCACUUUUGUAAAUAAAAUUUUACUGGAACAUAGCCAUGUACAUUUAUUUACUUAUUGCCUACGGCUGCUAUGGAGCUAUAAUUUGCAACAGAGAACAUAAUGCUUGUAAACCUCAAAAAUUUUAAAUCUGGCCCUUUGAGAAAAAGUCUGCUGACUCUUGAACCUAUUACUAACAAGCCAGGGUUUCACAAACCUUGCCCUCUGGCAAGAAUUCUGCUACUAUCUCAUUCCACACAUGUACUGUCCAUAACUAAUCAGAAGUAUCACAGCCAUUCAAUCAUAAUGUUUCAGAAACAGAAACUGAACAUCUCUCUUUCUUCAAGCUAUGCUCCUUUAGAGACACUAGAGUGACAUUCCUAAGACAACAGUCUUUUCACACAAGCUUUCCCCUGCUUUAAAAAGCGAAACAGCAACAACAACAAAAACAAGCAAACUAAACCAUAACCUUAGGUGGCUGUCAGUCAGUAACUUCUUUAGCUUGGGGUAUACGACACCUUUUAUAACUAGGUCCACUCUACCUUUUAAACACUGCCCAUCCUAGUCAUAGGAGAUUAUUCUGUGAAUCCCUAAGUAUGCCACUCUCUUUCCUGUUUUUGCUCAUUCUGCUCCCUCAGCCUCAAAUACCCUUCUCACUGCAUUGUCUUUCUACUUUUACCAUGAAAAAGAACUGAAAGUGUUUGUCGUCAUGUGUUACAUCAGCUACAAAGUACUUGAUUUUUUUUUAUUAAAAAUAAUCAAAAUCCAUACUGUAAGUAGAGGUUUUUGUAUCAGAACCAUUUCUAAAUUGAGUUUUACUUUUUCUCUUUACCUGAUUUAUGCUGUAAAAAGUUUAAGUGACUUGUACAUAAUCUCUCAGAAAAAAAAUAACUGAGUACUAAAUGGAAGAGAGGACUCUUGACUUGUCUCAAGAUACCCCAAGAUCAGACUAUAUUUUUAUGGAGGUGAGGGUGGGAAAGUAAAGAAAUCAACUGAUUGAAAACCAGCCUCUCUAUAGUUAAACAUUCCUAUGAAUACAGGGAAAUGGAGACUCACAUCAGGUCCUCACCAAAAUCAUGACUGGGCUGCUUCUUUAUGAAAUCGAGCAACUGAGAAUAGAUUAGAGUAAGAUGGUAUCUUUACUUGUGAAAAAGUAAUGUGAAAUAUAAAGGCAUAAUGUCCAAAUUAACAAUCAAAAGAAUCUCUUGUAGGAUAUAAUUUGAUAUUACUUUCCUAUGUUUUUGAUUCAAACCACCCAAAAAGAUUUUCUUUUUUCUUUCCUUUUAUUUUAAUGAGAGAGAGAGACAAAGAGACUGAGAAAGAGAGAGCCCGAGUUUGUGUGACAGGGACAGAGGGAGAGAGAAAGAUACAGAAUCUUCACCCAGUGUGGUACCAGAAUUGGGGCUCCAUCUCACAACUGGGAGAUCAUAACCUCAGCCUAAAUCAAGAGUCGGAUGCUUAACCGAUUGAGCCACCCAGGAGCCCUCCCUCCUCCCGACAAAAGCUUUUAAUUAAAACUAUUUUUUACUAGUAAACAAAAAAGGAAAAUUUUUAAGAAAAUAAAUUAUAUGCACGUAAAAGGCCCUAUUAGCUAAUUCAUGAUCUCUAUCAGGAUUAGCCUUUAAUUUAUGAUAAACUAAUAAGGCACAAAUGUUUCAAUCUUUCAUUAUAGCUUCUCAUUUCAACAAACUCAUGCUACUUUCAUCUCUGCACAUUCCAAGGAUAAGGCAUCUCUCUGAGGACCCCCAUAAACUUUAGGAAUCAAUUUGUACCUGAUUCAGUGUUGUCUAAACCUAUUCAAUCAGUGAUAUACAGCUCUGAGCCCACAAGGCACAGUGGAAUUUUUCAGUUGCUUUAUGUUCUAUCACAUUUAGUUAAAAGCUGGCACUGAACAGCUGUAUAGCGGUUACCGUCUAGGAUGAGUUUGUGACAGCAUGACCUGAAAUGUAGAAUGUACUGUUUCUGUCUAAAAACCAUAUACCUCACAUCAAUAUCUGGGAACAUUUUUAUCAACAAGUGACUGCUAGGAGUGCACGGCAUAUAGUUUCCUGACUUCAAAUCCAGCUUAUUCAACAGUACAAAGAACCAAAUAUGCAGUGACUCCUUUGAAUCCUCUUAUAAAAGGGAGCACUUCCUGGCUGUCCUAAAUAAACUCAGAAAACCAUAUUU